CACGUGGGUGAUCUGCCCUGCACUCUGGGAUAAGCCUGGGAAACUGGGUCUAAUACCGGAUAGGACCACACACUUCAUGGUGAGUGGUGCAAAGCUUUUGCGGUGUGGGAUGAGCCCGCGGCCUAUCAGCUUGUUGGUGGGGUAAUGGCCCACCAAGGCGACGACGGGUAGCCGGCCUGAGAGGGUGACCGGCCACACUGGGACUGAGAUACGGCCCAGACUCCUACGGGAGGCAGCAGUGGGGAAUAUUGCACAAUGGGCGCAAGCCUGAUGCAGCGACGCCGCGUGAGGGAUGACGGCCUUCGGGUUGUAAACCUCUUUCAGUAGGGACGAAGCGAAAGUGACGGUACCUACAGAAGAAGGACCGGCCAACUACGUGCCAGCAGCCGCGGUAAUACGUAGGGUCCGAGCGUUGUCCGGAAUUACUGGGCGUAAAGAGCUCGUAGGUGGUUUGUCGCGUUGUUCGUGAAAACUCACAGCUUAACUGUGGGCGUGCGGGCGAUACGGGCAGACUAGAGUACUGCAGGGGAGACUGGAAUUCCUGGUGUAGCGGUGGAAUGCGCAGAUAUCAGGAGGAACACCGGUGGCGAAGGCGGGUCUCUGGGCAGUAACUGACGCUGAGGAGCGAAAGCGUGGGUAGCGAACAGGAUUAGAUACCCUGGUAGUCCACGCCGUAAACGGUGGGUACUAGGUGUGGGUUUCCUUCCUUGGGAUCCGUGCCGUAGCUAACGCAUUAAGUACCCCGCCUGGGGAGUACGGUCGCAAGACUAAAACUCAAAGGAAUUGACGGGGGCCCGCACAAGCGGCGGAGCAUGUGGAUUAAUUCGAUGCAACGCGAAGAACCUUACCUGGGUUUGACAUGCACAGGACGUACCUAGAGAUAGGUAUUCCCUUGUGG
rnacentral:rRNA from 1 species